rnacentral:rRNA from 1 species
UUUUAUGGAGAGUUUGAUCCUGGCUCAGGAUGAACGCUGGCGGCGUGCCUAAUACAUGCAAGUUGAGCGAACAGACGAGGAGCUUGCUCCUUUGACGUUAGCGGCGGACGGGUGAGUAACACGUGGGUAACCUACCUAUAAGAC